rnacentral:lncRNA from 1 species
GUAAACAUAGCGUAGCUUCUCCUCCAUUCGUCUAAGCCAGGACUGGUGCGGCUCCCGUGGUAGUAGAAGUGGACCGGUCGAAAGCGAACGUCCAUACGCAGCGAACUCGGCCUGUAAAUCCCGUGUCAACUGAGCCUGCGAUUGGCACGAAGAGUAUUACAUAUAUAUGGCAAGUACGUAACAAACACAUGCAUUAUGUUAAGAGAAGAUACUUACCGCGUGCUGUCUAGAGCCUGAAGUAGACUGGCUAGGGUACAUAUCUUGCAAACUCGGCUCGGUUAUCUCCUGGGGGUGAGAGUGCUGAAUGAUGCUCAAUCAGGUAGCUGUCAUGUACCUCUGCAAAUAUCCGUUGAAUAGAUCGAGAUCAAAGGCCUCCAAUGGCCAAACCCGUGUCGUCGCAGUCUCCCACUCUGUGACGUACGACUGAACCCUCUGUAGCCAGUGAGUCUGGGUC